rnacentral:rRNA from 1 species
AUUGAACGCUGGCGGCAGGCCUAACACAUGCAAGUCGAGCGGAAACGAGUUAUCUGAACCUUCGGGGAAUGAUAACGGCGUCGAGCGGCGGACGGGUGAGUAAUGCCUAGGAAAUUGCCCUGAUGUGGGGGAUAACCAUUGGAAACGAUGGCUAAUACCGCAUGAUGCCUACGGGCCAAAGAGGGGGACCUUCGGGCCUCUCGCGUCAGGAUAUGCCUAGGUGGGAUUAGCUAGUUGGUGAGGUAAGGGCUCACCAAGGCAACGAUCCCUAGCUGGUCUGAGAGGAUGACCAGCCACACCGGAACUGAGACACGGUCCAGACUCCUACGGGAGGCAGCAGUGGGGAAUAUUGCACAAUGGGCGCAAGCCUGAUGCAGCCAUGCCGCGUGUAUGAAGAAGGCCUUCGGGUUGUAAAGUACUUUCAGCAGUGAGGAAGGCGGGUACGUUAAUAGCGUGCUCGUUUGACGUUAGCUGCAGAAGAAGCACCGGCUAACUCCGUGCCAGCAGCCGCGGUAAUACGGAGGGUGCGAGCGUUAAUCGGAAUUACUGGGCGUAAAGCGCAUGCAGGUGGUUUGUUAAGUCAGAUGUGAAAGCCCGGGGCUCAACCUCGGAAUAGCAUUUGAAACUGGCAGACUAGAGUACUGUAGAGGGGGGUAGAAUUUCAGGUGUAGCGGUGAAAUGCGUAGAGAUCUGAAGGAAUACCGGUGGCGAAGGCGGCCCCCUGGACAGAUACUGACACUCAGAUGCGAAAGCGUGGGGAGCAAACAGG